AAAAGACUUGAUCUUUAAAAUAUGCGGAAUCCCUAAAACUCGGAAAAUUUCAAUGAUAUUUAUAGUUGAUAGUUAUUUAUAAAGUGCCAGAGGUAUUGCCGGGUCAAGGCCGAAAUUCAUCUUCAUAACGUCACAGAACACGGAGAAGAAUAUGAAGGCAUCUACAAAAUGGUUGAGGGUGAAACCAAUAGAUCGAUCCUUCGAGUUGUGAAUACUGAUAAGGGAUUGAAUGACUAGCAAAAUUCCAGCCGCCACCUGCGUGUAAAGUUCUAAGGUGUCUUUGCAUGCGGUUCGAGGAGUCUAAGCGGCUGUGACGAGUACUCAAUGCCGAAACCCGAAAUAAUUACAUUCAGAACGGAUAUCACGAAUAUCACCACCAAUAUGAUAUCGUUCAAGAUGAUCGCCGCCGUCUGAUCUUUCUGCCGAUUGAUGUUGAGACCGCCGAUGGCCACAAACAGAAUUCCAACCAAUAGCUGUCAAAAAUGGAUAUUGAGAUUGUUAAAAAUCAAGCUUUUUUCUAUCAAUCUAAAGAUGUUUAUUGGCCCCCUCUAAUUCACGUUAUUCAGGAGAUCGCCUUGCGGCGGGGGCAGACGACUAUCAAAGGCCGAGAUAAAGAGAUUUAGCAUCGUUGUGAAAAACGCAAUUGCAGUGCGAACAUGAUUAAUAACAUUGGCCGAUUGGUGAAACUCUGGCUGGUGGAGUCGGCAGUCCCUCAACAAACUCAGCGACAAGCUUAGGACACCCGACAGUAUCUAAGGACAUGUGAAGAACGAGGCCGUUACUACCCCAUGCCGAGCAGGAAAAGCGACAACUCACCUGCAUCACGAUCGACAGACUGAUGAGAAUCAGCAUCAGCUUGUAAAACUGAUGCUGUUCCCCCACCUGGAGGAUGUACUUCAACUGGGAGGCAUUGGCAGUCAGCAGUGCUAUAUCCAGCAUGCCCUGGGCGAUCGUCUUCUUCGUCGCAUACCGAUUGGCGUCCAUGGCUUUCAUCUAAAAUGAUGAAGAGUUUACUAUAAUUACAACCGUAAGCGUAUAAACUAUUAAAUAUGUAACAUGAUGGAUAGAUAGAUACAUUGUCGAAGAACGAUACCAUUUUUUCAGAGCAAGUGCUGAAUUUAGACUGACGACUGAUUCUGGUAGAUCGAUUCAAUAGUUAUACGUUAUCUUUGCAAUUUCUGGCGAGUCGUGUGCUGUGCUGAUAACAGAGAACAUCGAACAUCAUCUACUCAAAAUAAUUAACCAAAAGGGGGACAACAUUGGGAGCAAGGAUGGAUUUCUUCGAAGUCGAAAGAAAACGUUAGCUUGAAGUUAGUUCUGAAUUACCUGCCAGGCAUAUUUUACGGAUUUCUGCAAAGGAAAAAGGUGUAACAUACUACAAAUUACAUGCAAAUGAUGGUUUUAUAUAUGAUACACCAAGGAUAAGAUCUAUCAUUGGUGUUUAAAUUAGAAAAUCAAUAUGGGAAAACAAACAGCAGACGGAAGUUGGAACUUUUUCGCACAGUUUGUCAGUCAGUUCAGAAUUUAAGGUGCAUGAGGCAAACGAGUCGUGUAUAUUAUACAUCAUAUUUAAUUGCAACACGAAUGGCAACAGUCGGAACAAAGACAACAACAACAGCAACAGCAGAAUAUAAUGACAAUUACUAUGGCAGGGAUUCCAAUGGAGAUGGGAUGUGGUAGCUCAUUCCAAGCCUCAAACAGACACAAAUUUAUAAAUUAUUUAUAAACAGGAAUGUGUGGAAGAUCAAGGCCGAGUAUGUGAAUGAGAUUUAUGCGUAAUAGCAACGGAAUAUUUGUAGACUUACCUCAGUUUCGUUGACCCGCUCAUCGCCAGCCACAACCUGAGCCAUUCUGAUUUUUUAUUUGGUUUCGCUUUUAACUAGCUUUUUGUUGGUUUUCGGUCACACAACGUUGCACUUUUGUCGGGUGUGCACUUGAUUCAACAAAGCUCAAAAUUCAUUUCAAUUCGAGCUGUUCGGGGUUUCAUUUCAUUGUCUUCUCUAAUUGUGGAAACCUGAAGCGUCGUUGUCGUGGAGACGGCUGGCGACACAACCAAACGAUUAAACAACUGAAAGCCAACUGAAAUGAUUCCCAGCUAAGAGAGUGCCCGCCGCGAAGCCACUGGAGCACGCGAGCUCUCUUUGCUCGCGGUAGAGAGAGAGCGUUUCUGCCUCGACUUGGCUUGGCGCGCGGGGACUUGACUAAUUGCAGGAGCUCAGUGUCGUAAAAUGGGAUUUAUUGAUUUAUUUUCAGCGAGCCGCUACCACCGAUCUGUCGGAACAAUCAAUGGAGGGCCAAUCGGUAAUCGGUAAUGGAUAGCUGGAGGGUUUUUAUAAAUUUUAGGUCUUUAUUUUCUAGGCUGAGAAGCAGUUUCAAUAAAUAGCAUUUUAAAUACUUUGCGCCCUUUUAUGCGUAAGACAUACACACACAAUUUGCUUCGAAUCUCUGGGGCUACGGGUUACGGGUACUUGAUGUUAGCUGACGCAUGGGUUUUGAUAUCGAUUUUAAUAAGCCUUUCACACACAGCGUUUAA